UACGUAGGGUGCGAGCGUUGUCCGGAAUUAUUGGGCGUAAAGGGCUCGUAGGCGGUUUGGCGCGUCGGGUGUGAAAACACCGGGCUUAACUCGGUGCUUGCUUUCGAUACGGGCAGACUAGAGGCAUGCAGGGGAGAACGGAAUUCCUGGUGUAGCGGUGAAAUGCGCAGAUAUCAGGAGGAACACCGGUGGCGAAGGCGGUUCUCUGGGCAUGUCCUGACGCUGAGGAGCGAAAGCGUGGGGAGCGAACAGG
rnacentral:rRNA from 1 species